CUUCAGGCCUGCCAGGGUGUGUUUGUUUGGUGUGUGUGAUUUUGUGUGCGGAUGUGUGUGUGUGAUGUUUUACUUUUACGGAGCAGAAUAGACAUACGGUGCAGCUCUCACUCACUCUAAUGAAAUCAUCCCAGACUACAUUAAUCCCUCCUGAAGGCCACUGUCAAAAUAACAAGCAGCUUGGAUUCUUUAAAGAGAGCUAUCUGUCUUGGACAGAGUGUGUUUCCUGUCUCCGUACCUCCUCUCUCCCGUUUGGGGCAGAUCCCCUUCGCUGGAGUCAGCCUCCUCUCCACAUCCUCCUCUCCGCAGGGGGUCACCUGGACGCCCACCUCCACCGGAAUGGACCCUCUACCCCGCUCCAGUGACCUGGCCCCAGGAGAGAUGGUAAUGCCCAUGACCCCGCCAGUCUCCCCAGGCUUGGAGAAGGACCCUGGUCUGCUUCCAGGCCCCCGGCACAGACGGCGCUUGUGCUCUAUGAAAACCAGGAUAUCGCCCAGAGGGAAAUUCGUCUGGCACUGGCCACAGGUCAGCAUAUCGUGCUCCCCGGGUCCUGCCCUCCGAGGGCUGGGGGUGGAUGGCUCCAGAGAUGGAGAUCCUGCCCCUGAAUCAUGAUUGGCCUCUGCUGCAGAGAAGGGAAGAGGGGGUGACAAAUGUAAAUCGCGAUCCUCAGAUCCU